GUGGCAGGGGAGCUGGGGGCUCCCCGGCGGAAGUAGCGCGAGAGGCUGGACAGCAGCGUGCUCUACAAGAAAAAAAGUGGCUUGGAGAGUCAAGAAAUGAAGGUGGAGCUUGGGAAGCUAGCGUGAGGUAUUCCAGGACCUCAUGGCAUAGGACGCUUACCUCAGGUCCAAUAGAACGGAAUGUUUCAUUCAAUCCAGUGACUUGAGCAAGCGCCUCUCUCCUGAAUCUACUGUUUCUCAAGAAUAAUGAGUUUUGAUGCAGCUAGUUAGCAAAAGGCAGGAACACAAAAGCAACUGAACCUUCCAGACCAGAACAAUGAAACUACUCCCAGAGGCAGACUUACUUGGUUCGGAGGACCAGCAUGGCACUGUCCCUCCGAUCCUG
rnacentral:lncRNA from 1 species